rnacentral:sRNA from 1 species
UCUAAGAUGUUGUAAAGAUAGUGAGAAGAUCUAGUUGUCAAGACUCAUUUGGCAUAUCGAUCCAUUUCAGAACCACGUGAGUAAUUAUCCUGGAGACGCACAGGAGCCUCUGUUGUCAAACUCCCCUGACAUGGCUUCAGAUUCUAAACUCCAUGUUUAGGUGAAUGAGCACACAUAUCUCCCUACUGCUCAGAGCUCCCUUUUCUCCAGGAUGAAAUGGAAGCAGGACUAUGGUCUUCUAAACCUUAAGAGAAUCUUAUAGAGAACUAUGUGUGACUAAUCUAGCACCAUGUUCACCACACAGUAGGCCCAGGGAAAUGUGUUUGGCAAACAAGCCUAAUUAUGAGAGUGUACCUUAUCAUGCACAAGGUAGGAGAAUGAUACCCAAAGAAUCAUCUAGAAGGCUCUUUAUAAACUAGAGUCAGGAGCCCAAUCCUCAUCUCCCUAGACUGGAACUUCCUGGUAUAGUAGCAACAAUACACAUUUUGAGCAAACUGGUAGAACUUUUAAGGCUCAAGUAUGAGAGUCACUGACUGUGCUUGGGCACAUGUAUCAGUGUUUCACCCUUGCUUGACCUAAACUCCAUAUCAUCCAAUAUCUACAGCUCAACAUCUGACAGAAAAACAAAUGCCCUCUUAUCCCUUAUAAAUGCACACAUGCACGUUAGCACCCACAGCAGACUUUGAAAGGGCAUUUGCUAAUUUUCUGCUUUCCACAAAAGCCACGACACUCUCAGUCAUCAACUGUGCCCAUAUCCAGAGCUUCUCAGUCCAACUGAUUCAGCCUCAAUCUUCAUUGUUCCUGCCUAGAAAAAUUACAGGAUGAAGAUAAAACCUGGACCCGGAGAGAAACCACAGGGCUGCUAGCUUUGAUGACAUUGUCUCUUAACUGUUGCUACUGUGCAGUAAAAGCCCAGGAUUGCUCCAAUUUCAGUGUACAAGUCAGAUGAACCAGAUACAUCCAGCAGUCACCCUACCAGGGAUCAGAAGGCAGCACAGAUCCAGAAUACUCUGUAUGGAUCUCAAAAUGCUCAUCACCACAUCACAAGGACAUAAUGACCCUCCGUACACCCACAUCUGCUGGAAGGUAAGUAAGGAGGGGAGAUGGGACCCAGAAAGCCUAAAGAAUGGAGGACUGAACUCAUCUAUGGUAAAAAUUAAAAUAAGAUGAAAUAGUUUUUAAAAGUCUGGUGGUCGUUUAAUCAGAAAAGAGAUUUUUAAUUGUAGGAAUAUGUAGCAUUGGUAAUAAGUUUCCCUCAACAACCCGGAAAGAUGGGUCCCUGUAAACCUGGAAAGGAUAUUAAGUCUGCUGUAAGAAGUGCAGGUGCAUUUUCCUAGUGUAUUAAAGGAACAUAGGCAUAUUCCUUGUGCACCAGUUUCUUGUUUUUUGUUUUUUGUUUUCUUUUUGUCAUAGCACUAAGGAAGAAGCUAGAACUCAGGAAUCAAGGGAAACAUGGAGGAAUGAUGGAUUUCCCCAAACAGAGUUAAAAAAACUAAUUUGGAAGAAAAGAAAAUUCAGCAUGAGCCAAAAAGUGUAUGGAGGUGCUGAAAGGCACCCUUCCUUCCUGCCCAGCCAUGGUCUCACUUGGAGUAGAAGUCUCCAGAAACAACCAGUCCUCUGUCCUUCUGUUCCAGCCUCCUACAGCUCUGCUCUCUGAGAAGUCAUGCUGACUCAUUGGCUCAAGCUGUGAUGCUCAGCUGUCUGUCCAUCUUGUCUCCUGGAACAGCUCAAUCCAGGGUCUUCCUGAAGUGGUGAUCACUCCAGCUGGCAGGGGUAGAAAAUGGUACCAGUCAGGUCAGAGCUCUGGGAUCCCACAGUCACUGCUGCAGGAUGGAGGAACCUACUCCUGAGCCUGUCUAUGUGGAUGUGGACAAGGGGCUGACCUUGGCUUGCUUCGUUUUCCUCUGCCUCUUCCUCGUAGUCAUGAUCAUCCGCUGUGCCAAAGUCAUCAUGGACCCCUACAGUGCCAUCCCCACGUCAACCUGGGAGGAGCAGCACCUGGAUGACUGAGGCACAGGACAGGUCUCAGUAUCCCCAACAUGCCUUUGUACACUCUGGCCAACAUCCUGCGAGCACUUGGAGACUGGGAGUGGCUAUGAUCACCCAAAACUGGAGAAGGCUCACCUUUGCCUUACUGGCUCUCACAUGACCACCAGAGGGGAAUGCCAUCGUGCAGGAGCCAAGGCAGUCUGGAGGAUCCUGGGGAGAGGAAUGCUGAGCCAUGACUCAGUCGAGUGGAGAUGAUGUUGGGACUCCACUGGGAGACAGCAGGGUGAUAGUUCCCUGCCCAGGCUCCUGGGCACCUUUGAAAACUGAACCAAAACCAGAUACUCUGGUCUACAAAUAGUGGUCAGGAGGAGACUGACCUUCAACUACACAGCAUGGAGAGGUUGCUGAGAGCCCAGUACCCUCUACAGACUAACAGUGAGGGGCAGGAAGGAUGAAGACUUCAGGGGGCUUCUCCUCCAAAUUCUCACAAGGCACACAGCUACUUUCAAACUUUUAUUUUCAAAAGAAAAAAACUCCAUAAAAACACAAACUAAGAUACAGAAGGGAUAUAUUUUUCCUGUUAAAAAUGAGAUGUGCAUUUUAGACACUUGGGAAAAUAUAAAUAAAUAGAAGGGAAGGGAGGCGAAUAGCACUUAAAAAUCCAACCUCCCCAAAGCCAUCAUUUUGAUACAUUUCUUCAAGUCUUUUUUACAGGAUUUUUUUUAGUAAUUCACACCAUAUGCAUGAUGCUGCAUUGAUUUGUAUGAUAGCUUAAAUAUCUUCUGCCUCACAAGAUACCAUGGCUGUUUUUAGUGACUGAGAGUAAACUGGCUAGGCCAUGGCUGAAUAUAGUCCUUUUCUUUAAUCUGUCUAACUUUCUACAAUGUACUCAUGCAAA